GAUGUCAGGGUGAUCUGGCCGUGACAUGUUACCCCAUUGAUCUCCAGGCUUGAUUUGGCUGAUCUGGCGACCUAGGUGACAACCUCCUCCUCCCUCUCCUCUC
rnacentral:sRNA from 1 species